rnacentral:rRNA from 1 species
CGUAGGGGGCAAGCGUUGUCCGGAUUUAUUGGGCGUAAAGAGCGUGUAGGCGGCCAGACAGGUCCGUUGUGAAAACUAGAGGCUUAACCUCUAGACGUCGAUGGAAACCGUCUGGCUAGAGUCCGGAAGAGGAGAAUGGAAUUCCUGGUGUAGCGGUGAAAUGCGCAGAUAUCAGGAAGAACACCCGUGGCUAAGGCGGUUCUCUAGUACGGUACUGACGCUGAGACGCGAAAGCGUGGGGAGCGAACAGGAUUAGAUACCCUGGUAGUCCACGCCGUAAACGAUGGGUGCUAGGUGUGGGGGGUGUCGACUCCCCCCGUGCCGAAGCUAACGCAUUAAGCACCCGCCUGGGGAGUACGGCCGCAAGGCUA